rnacentral:rRNA from 1 species
GUAAUGCAUUAAGCUAACUGAUACUAAUUGCCCGUACGGCUUGUCCCUAUAACCUUAGCAGGU